rnacentral:tRNA from 1 species
UGGGGUGUAGUUCAGUGGUAGAGCGCUUGCCUAGUGUACAGGAGGCCCUGGGUUCCAUCCCCAGCCCUCAA